UUUGAAGUAGUUUAAAGGUUAAAAUAGUAGUUUCCAAAACUACCAAUGCAGGUUCAACUCCUGUCUUCACCGCUA
rnacentral:tRNA from 1 species